AACGAACGCUGGCGGCAGGCCUAACACAUGCAAGUCGAGCGGACCUUUCGGGGUCAGCGGCGGACGGGUUAGUAACGCGUGGGAACGUGCCCGAAGGUACGGAAUAGUCCCGGGAAACUGGGGGUAAUACCGUAUGUGCCCUAUGGGGGAAAGAUUUAUCGCCUUCGGAUCGGCCCGCGUUGGAUUAGGUAGUUGGUGGGGUAAUGGCCUACCAAGCCGACGAUCCAUAGCUGGUUUGAGAGGAUGAUCAGCAACACUGGGACUGAGACACGGCCCAGACUCCUACGGGAGGCAGCAGUGGGGAAUCUUAGACAAUGGAGGAAACCCUGAUCUAGCCAUGCCGCGUGGGCGAUGAAGGCCUUAGGGUUGUAAAGUCCUUUCAGAUGGGAAGAUAAUGACGGUACCAUCAGAAGAAGCCCCGGCUAACUCCGUG
rnacentral:rRNA from 1 species